CUACGGGUCGCUCCAGGCGCGAAACCUUUACAAUGCACGCAAGUGUGAUAAGGGGACCCUAAGUGCUUUACUUUUAGUAAAGCUUUUGCCAUAUGUAAAAAGUAUGGCGAAUAAGUGGUGGGUAAGACGGGUGCCAGCCGCCGCGGUAACACCCGCGCCACAAGUGGUGAUCGCGUUUAUUGGGCCUAAAGCGUCCGUAGCUGGUCUGAUAAAUCUUUUGUGAAAUUGUUAAGCUCAACUUAACAACGUGCAGAAGACACUAUUAGACUUGGAACCGGAGAAGAGUCAGAAGUAUUAUUGGGGUAGCGGUAAAAUGUUAUAAUCCCUUUAAGACUACCGAUGGCGAAAGCAUCUGACUAGAACGGAUUCGACAGUGAGGGACGAAAGCUAGAGGAGCAAACCGGAUUAGAUACCCUAGUAGUC
rnacentral:rRNA from 1 species